rnacentral:tRNA from 1 species
CUGGGUAUAGUGAAGUGGCAUAACGCCUGCCUUGGGAGCAGGUGACGUAGGUUCGAUUCCUGCUACCCGGAC